rnacentral:rRNA from 1 species
GGNGCUCUCCCAUAUGGUCGACCUGCAGGCGGCCGCGAAUUCACUAGUGAUUAGAGUUUGAUCCUGGCUCAGAUUGAACGCUGGCGGCGUGCUUAACACAUGCAAGUCGAACGUGAAAGUCCUUCGGGGCGAGUAAAGUGGCGCACGGGUGAGUAACGCGUGGAUAAUCUACCCUUAAGAUGGGGAUAACGGCUGGAAACGGUCGCUAAUACCGAAUACGCUCCCGAUUUUAUCGUUGGGGGGAAAGAUGGCCUCUGCUUGCAAGCUAUCGCUUAAGGAUGAGUCCGCGUCCCAUUAGCUAGUUGGCGGGGUAACGGCCCACCAAGGCGACGAUGGGUAGCCGGUCUGAGAGGAUGACCGGCCACACUGGAACUGGAACACGGUCCAGACUCCUACGGGAGGCAGCAGUGGGGAAUAUUGCGCAAUGGGCGAAAGCCUGACGCAGCGACGCCGCGUGAGGGAUGAAGGUUCUCGGAUCGUAAACCUCUGUCAGGGGGGAAGAAACCCCCUCGUGUGAAUAAUGCGAGGGCUUGACGGUACCCCCAAAGGAAGCACCGGCUAACUCCGUGCCAGCAGCCGCGGUAAUACGGAGGGUGCAAGCGUUAAUCGGAAUCACUGGGCGUAAAGCGCACGUAGGCGGCUUNGGUAAGUCAGGGGUGAAAUCCCACNGCCCAACUGUGGAACUGCCUUUGAUACUGCCNAGGCUUGANUACC